rnacentral:rRNA from 1 species
GACGAACGCUGGCGGCGUGCUUAACACAUGCAAGUCGAACGAAGAGCGAUGGAAGCUUGCUUCUAUCAAUCUUAGUGGCGAACGGGUGAGUAACGCGUAAUCAACCUGCCCUUCAGAGGGGGACAACAGUUGGAAACGACUGCUAAUACCGCAUACGAUCUAACCUCGGCAUCGAGGAUAGACGAAAGGUGGCCUCUACAUGUAAGCUAUCACUGAAGGAGGGGAUUGCGUCUGAUUAGCUAGUUGGAGGGGUAACGGCCCACCAAGGCGAUGAUCAGUAGCCGGUCUGAGAGGAUGAACGGCCACAUUGGGACUGAGACACGGCCCAGACUCCUACGGGAGGCAGCAGUGGGGAAUCUUCCGCAAUGGACGAAAGUCUGACGGAGCAACGCCGCGUGAGUGAUGACGGCCUUCGGGUUGUAAAGCUCUGUUAAUCGGGACGAAAGGCCUUCUUGCGAAUAGUUAGAAGGAUUGACGGUACCGGAAUAGAAAGCCACGGCUAACUACGUG